CGUGACUAGAUUGCCACGAUAUGUACAAUUUAAAAAUAGUUGUUUCCUUGCUUGCAUUUAAUAUUGCGGUUAGCAAAUACACUAAUAAUAUACGAAUAUAUUAAAAAUCACAAAUUGAUACUUGGGUUUUUAAAUAGCAUUAAAAAAAUGGGAAAAGAUAAAGAAAUCUUUUAAUUGAACGGACUGAUAUGCAGAUAUUUCAAAUGAACUCUAUGAAGUACUGAACUUAUUAAUUGUAUGGAGCUUAGCAUUGUCGUUGUUAAUAAUUGCAAGAAACCCAAACGGAUCAACAAUUUUUUUCCUACGCAUGGUACAAUAAAGAGCAGCUGCGCACUUCAAUCGAUGUCAAUCCUUGGAAGUGUGGGUUAGCCGGGCUUCCUAAAAAUGACGCAGAAGAACUCGAGCUUACGUGAUAUCUCCACGAACGAAUCGAUCAUUAGCAGGAAGACGUUAGCUGCUAAACGAAUUUAGCUGAAAAAUGUCAUAAUCUCCGGUGUCUCAAACCGAGUUCUCAGAAAUGUCGGCAGAAUAACGAAAAUUUACUUGUGAACUUUGCUGCAUUAAGCAGCUAAGGAAUAUCGGAUGUCAUCCCUAAAUAACAAGGAAGAUUAUUUUAUGGAAAAGAAGAAUAAUAUGUAUGUUGUACGAAAAAGAAUAACUACGUGAUCAUGGAUAUAUAAAUAAAGAGUGUUGGUUUUGUUACGUCUAAAUAAUAAUGAAUACAUAGGCGAAUUUUGAAUGAGUAAAUCAACCAGUGGCCAAACAACCUCUUCUCUCAAACAUCAUCAUUGAAUCGGGUCCACGAAUCACACGGGACAUUAAUUCCCAACAUACUUUUGCAGGCAAUAAGCUGAAAUAUAGAAUGACAUAUUCCAUUAAUAGUAUAAAUGGAAUGUAUUUUCUUU